rnacentral:lncRNA from 1 species
AUACACAAACAAAAUUUGAUUUUUUUUUGAAACUGCGUAUUUGUAGUAAAAUUUCUCAAUCUUCAAAAAAAAGAGGUAGGCUCUGUCCAGCUCUAGGUUGGCAAUGGGGAAACAGGCCUUUGCAUACAUUGUUCUUGGAAGUAUAAAUUGCCCCCCAGGACAUAGCUGUAUAUUCUAGUUGUAGGUCCUUCUGGUUGUGCUGUGUGGGACGCUGCCUCAGUGUGGCCUGAUGAGCGGUGCCAUGUCUACGCCCAGGAUCCAAACCAGCGAAACCCUGGGCCACUGAAGCGGAGCGAAUGAACUUAACCACUCAGACACGGGGCCGGCCCCAGUCACCUACCUUUCGAUGCAGCGAUUUCUUUCCCAGGAAAUUUAUUCUCUAGCCAUAUUGACACAGGAGCAGACUGUGUCUGUGACACUAUUUGUAAAGGCAAAAAAACCCCCCAAGCAACCAACUGGCUACCAACAGGAGACAUCCACACAAGAGAAUAUUUUUUUGUCAUUAAAAAUUAAAUGAAGUAUCCAAUUCCAUGCAGGGGCACGGGAAGAUGACCAUGAGAUACUGGAUAAAUUUGCUUACUGUGUGACCUUAUACAAGUUACUUAACCUCUCUCAACCUCAAUUUCUUCAUCUCUAAAGUGAGGACAAUAUUAUUGAAGUAACAGGGUUGCCGUGCAGAUGAAAUGAUGAUACAUAUCAAGUGUUUUGCAUAGUGCCUGGCACAGCAAAAACGCUCUAUUAGUAAUAUUGUCAUUGUUAAGAGAAAAAAAAUGAAAGCUUCAAAACAGCAUGUAUAAGUGCUUUGCUUUUGUUAAAUCCAACUUAUACCAUAGGAAAAAAAAUCAUACUUUUUAAAAGUCUGAGAUUUGGAGGAUAGAGAACUUCUCCUUUUUACUUAGUACAUGUUGGUAUGUAUAACAUUGUCAAGAAUGACCACAUUACUUUAAAAGUGACGAUGAAACGUGGUUUUCAAAAAGAUGUGUGAGACUCAGACUGUGGAGUGUUGCUAAGUUGUUUCCACCAGCAUUUCCUCUUUCUGCUGUUUAGCUGAAAGUUUCUGCUUAAAAACUCACUUCUGCUCAGUGCUCUCACCUAGUGUCUCUGUGGAGUGGACAGAGGUAUCGUGACAGUGAAGACCAAGGACUCAACAGAGAAAAUAUUCUGCCACCAGCUCACACUCAGAGGGAACAAGGAGCGGUUUGCAGUUUUGACAACCAGAAGCCAGGCCAUAUUGUUAACGACAGAGGACAGACUGAAUCCUAUAGCUCUGAUGCCCCAGUCAAAUCUGCAAGGGCCCUGGAAGGACAGUGUGAUAUAUAUAUAUAUACACCCCUAAAAAAAAAUCUCAGCGGGUUACUUCAAAUAAAGUGCAAACCAGAACACUGUGGAUAUUUAGAAUAUGGAAGACGAGAGAUUUGAGCCAAAAAAAUGUUUGCCUACACAAUAUUCUUCCUUUCAUUGUCUGCCAGGAGAGUUACGUAAGCCUCGCCUCAGUCCCACCCAGAGCC